rnacentral:tRNA from 1 species
GGGCGUUUAGCUCAGUUGGUUAGAGCAUUAGCCUUACAAGCUAAGGGUCCACAGUUCGAAUCUGUGAACGCCCACCA